rnacentral:tRNA from 1 species
UGGGGCAUGGCUUGGAGGAAGAGUGCUUGCUUAGGACACAGGAAGCCCUGGAUUCAAUCCCCACACAUGCCCCAG